UACGAGUGCCUCAAGCGUUAUCCGGAAUCACUGGGCGUAAAGGGUGCGUAGGCGGUUAUGUUAGUCUCUUGUUAAAGCCCCGGGCUCAACUCGGGAAUCGCAAGGGAAACGGCAUAACUAGAGGGCGAGAGAGGUGUGUAGAACUCAUAGUGUAGGGGUGAAAUCCGUUGAUAUUAUGGGGAAUACCAAAUGCGAAGGCAGCACACUGGCUCGUUUCUGACGUUGAAGCACGAAAGCGUGGGUAUCGAAUGGG
rnacentral:rRNA from 1 species